AAGUUGGAUGCUUAACCCGCUGAGCUACCCAGGCACCCGUGAAGUAGCCGGCCUUCCUGCUCUUUUCACACGUACUGGAGGCCUCAGGGCCUUUGCGCGUGUAAUUCCUUCGGCCAGGAGUGCCCCGGCCGCUCCCUGAGCCAAUUAUCCCUCCGGAUGUUGACAGCCUUCACCCCUCAGGAAAGCCUGAGGUCCCUUGGGCUGUAGCAGUGGCCAGGAAGAAAACCGCCCCCUCUGAAAGUUGUUUUGGUGACUGUUCUUUGGAGCAUUGUUCUAAAAAUGGGAAAUUACAUAUUGCCGUGCCAAAGGAAACAAACACCUGCAAUUAAAGGAAUACCUUCCACGAGGUGGCUCUCAGAGCCCCAGCCGGUUCUGGACGCGGGGCUGUUACACAAGUUUCACUUGGUGCUUUCUUCACUUUUAAGGGGAUCGGGUGCUUCUCCAUUUGUAACCAGGGUGGGCUUUGGCGACCACGGGGCUCCGGUGAUUGUCUUGUACUCAUUCACUCAAUAAACAUCUAUCGAGCAUC